rnacentral:rRNA from 1 species
UACGUAGGGCGCAAGCGUUAUCCGGAAUUAUUGGGCGUAAAGAGCUCGUAGGCGGUUUGUCGCGUCUGCCGUGAAAGUCCGGGGCUCAACUCCGGAUCUGCGGUGGGUACGGGCAGACUAGAGUGCAGUAGGGGGAGACUGGAAUUCCUGGUGUAGCGGUGAAAUGCGCAGAUAUCAGGAGGAACACCGAUGGCGAAGGCAGCUCGCUGGGGACGUGACUGACGCUGAGACGCGAAAGCGUGGGGAGCAA